rnacentral:rRNA from 1 species
GACGAAGGGGGCUAGCGUUGUUCGGAAUUACUGGGCGUAAAGCGCGUGUAGGCGGUUGUUCAAGUCAGGUGUGAAAGCCUUGAGCUCAACUCAAGAAAUGCACUUGAUACUGGAUGACUAGAGGACCGGAGAGGAUAGUGGAAUUCCCAGUGUAGUGGUGAAAUACGUAGAGAUUGGGAGGAACACCUAUGGCGAAGGCAGCUCGCUGGGACGUUACUGAGCUGGAGACGCGAAAGCGUGGGGAGCAAACAGG